CCAACGCAUGGAAGGACCAUUCUACAGAGGAGACAGACCUUGAGGAGAACCAACAAGGGGAAGCAUCCUCUUCGGUUUAGUUGGUGGACAAUCAGGAGUGCUGUCUUGGAGAUGUUGGGACCCACCACCACUGGAACGAUGAAUGAGCCCAGUUCUCAGCGCUCACACAGCCACACCGGGAAGGGGCAGCAUCUAAGAUUUUAUCCUUUUCCUCCUUUGGAUUUUCCUAAGCCCCAGAGGGGAUGGAAACCCUUUGGAUAUACUGAAUGUGGGGAAACAGUCCACCAGAGCUUAAACAGAGGCGAUUCCACACUGAAGAAAACUCAUUUCCAUCUGCCUCCACAGGCCGCGAGUACACUUCUCCUAGACCAGCUUCUCCUCACCAGUCUUUCUUUCUCCUUAGACUCUCCACACCUCGUUUCCCUACAGCUCAUCCCACCCAGUGUGCCAGGGUGGGCAAAAUCUCACUGAAGAACCUCCAGAGGGGCUUCCCUGGUGGCGCAGUCGUUAAGAAUCCACCUGCCAACGCAGGGGACAUGGGUUGGAUCCCUGGUCCGGGAAGAUCUCACAUGCCGCGGAGCAACUAAGCCCGUGUGCCACAACUACUGAGCCCGCGUGCCACAACUACUGAAGCCCGCGCACCUAGAGCCCGUGCUCCGCAACGAAAGAAGCCACCGCAAUGAAGAGUAGCCCCCGCUCGCCACAACUAGAGAAAGCACGCACGCAGCAAUGAAGACCCAAUGCAGCCAAAAAUAAUAAAUAAAAUAAAUACAUAUAUUUUUUAAACUUAAAAAAGAAAAGCACCUCCAGAGACUGCCCACUGCCCACCAAAUUAACACCCAGCGCCUUACCUUGCAUUCUUUCAUCUUCCAUCUUGAAUGAUAAUUAUCGUUGACUUGUUCUGUGGUCCCCACUAGAUAGUAAACUACUUCACAGCAAGAUUCAACUG